UUGUAUUUAGCUCAGUUGGUUGAGUGCUUGCCUAACAUGCAUGAUCCCGUGGGUUCAAACCCAGCACUAGAAA
rnacentral:tRNA from 1 species